rnacentral:lncRNA from 1 species
UAAAAGAUUUGAAAGAGAACAUUUGAACCCCCUAAAACAACAGGAUCGCUUCCAGGUUACAGUAUUGAAAUUAGAAUCAACCACUAUUAUUACACAACAUCUCUUACCAAAUCAGAUCAUCUUCGAUAAGAAGAAUCACUGUCAACUAUUCCAGCUAUGACUUACAUCUGAAUCUCAAUAGCACAACUCGAGCUAGCAUCAACCUUAUCAAUCUUCCUGGACACUUCUCGACCACUGGAUCCUUAACACCUCUGACUCCUCGCCUAGCCUUAACUUUACUCGCAAUCAUAGACUAGCCAUUCAUCUUUAAUCCUUUCUGAAAUGGUUAAAAGAGAAUAGCAAGAGUGAGCAACAAUGCUCAGCAAGUAAUAAUAACAAUGAAAGUUCUGAAGUGAUAUAGCAGAAAUUCUCGAGUUCAAGAUAUAAAAAGAUUCAACCUGAGUUCACAAAUUCAGGUAUUGUAUAAAAGAAUCACAAUACCUUGCAGCAAUAGAAACCUGAGGAAUUCAAUCCUUCACAAGAGAAUUAUUGAAUUGGACUAUCACAUUUUAAUUAAAAACCAAGGUUAGGAUGCUGAUCAGUCAUACCUAACCCCGAGCAGGCCCCGCCAUGCUCUAUCACUGGAUCCAAGGCACUCAUUGGCCUAUCAUGACCACUCAUUUGGUCUGACCACUCAUCUGGUCCACAUGUUUAUAUAAAAACAAUAAUCCAAUUCUCUAAUUCAAUUCAAGAAGCCAAUGUAAAUUAACAGAACAUCAUCAUAAAUAUCAUCAACAACAGAAUAAUUCCAAUUCAAACUUUGAUAAUAAUCUAUUCAUAAAUCAUGAUCCAUCAUUUCAUAAAUCACAGUUCAGGAAAUCCUCAACUAUUCAGUAUCCUCCAUUAUCGGCUAAGCAACUGAAUUUAGCCUGCUAAACCAGCAUGACAAUGGCGGGUUGAAUAAUCAAGAAGAUCCCAAUUCAUUCAAAGCUCUAACUAUCACUGAGCAACACAUGCUUCAAUGACAAUCUGAACUUCGAAUUAAUUUGUAAAACGGAAAUUCUUUAGAAACUUGAAGAUUAGAAAGAAUGGGUCAGAAUACUCACACUUUCGAACAGUGAAAAGAAAAGUAUGAAUACUUGAAACAUAUACCAAAGGAAUGGAUCAGAAUAUUUGCAAUAUAUCCAAGAGAAAGGUUUAGGAUACUUGC